rnacentral:rRNA from 1 species
UGAUACGUAGGGUCCGAGCGUUGUCCGGAAUUAUUGGGCGUAAAGGGCUUGUAGGCGGUUUGUCGCGUCGGAAGUGAAAACUCAGGGCUUAACCCUGAGCCUGCUUCCGAUACGGGCAAACUAGAGGAAUGCAGGGGAGAAUGGAAUUCCUGGUGGAGCGGUGGAAUGCGCAGAUAUCAGGAGGAACACCAGUGGCGAAGGCGGUUCUCUGGGCAUUUCCUGACGCUGAGAAGCGAAAGCGUGGGGAGCAAACAGGCUUAGAUACCCUGGUAGUCCACGCCGUAAACGGUGGGCACUAGGUGUGGGACUCAUUCCACGAGUUCCGUGCCGUAGCUAACGCAUUAAGUGCCCCGCCUGGGGAGUACGGCCGCAAGGCUA